rnacentral:rRNA from 1 species
UACAGAGGUCUCAAGCGUUGUUCGGAUUUACUGGGCGUAAAGCGCGCGCAGGCGGCACCACAAGUACCGUAUGAAAUCUCCUUGCUCAACGAGGAGGGUAUAAGGUAGACUGUGGAGCUAGAGGAGGGUAGAGGGGGGUAGAAUUGCUGGUGUAGCGGUGAAAUGCGUAGAGAUCAGCAGGAAUACCCGUGGCGAAGGCGGCCCCCUGGGCCCUACCUGACGCUGAGGCGCGAAGGCUAGGGGAGCGAACGGG